AUGAACGCUAGCGACAGGCUUAACACAUGCAAGUCGAGGGGCAGCAUGGUAGGUAGCAAUACUUAUUGAUGGCGACCGGCGCACGGGUGAGUAACGCGUAUGCAACUUACCUAUCAGAGGGGGAUAGCCCGGCGAAAGUCGGAUUAAUACUCCAUAAAACAGGGGUCCCGCAUGGGACUAUUUGUUAAAGAUUCAUCGCUGAUAGAUAGGCAUGCGUUCCAUUAGGCAGUUGGCGGGGUAACGGCCCACCAAACCGACGAUGGAUAGGGGUUCUGAGAGGAAGGUCCCCCACAUUGGUACUGAGACACGGACCAAACUCCUACGGGAGGCAGCAGUGAGGAAUAUUGGUCAAUGGCCGAGAGGCUGAACCAGCCAAGUCGCGUGAAGGAUGAAGGAUCUAUGGUUUGUAAACUUCUUUUAUAGGGGAAUAAAGUGUGGGACGUGUCCUAUUUUGUAUGUACCCUAUGAAUAAGCAUCGGCUAACUCCGUGCCAGCAGCCGCGGUAAUACGGAGGAUGCGAGCGUUAUCCGGAUUUAUUGGGUUUAAAGGGUGCGUAGGUGGUAAUUUAAGUCAGCGGUGAAAGUUUGUGGCUCAACCAUAAAAUUGCCGUUGAAACUGGGUUACUUGAGUGUGUUUGAGGUAGGCGGAAUGCGUGGUGUAGCGGUGAAAUGCAUAGAUAUCACGCAGAACUCCAAUUGCGAAGGCAGCUUACUAAACCAUAACUGACACUGAAGCACGAAAGCGUGGGUAUCAAACAGGAUUAGAUACCCUGGUAGUCCACGCAGUAAACGAUGAUUACUAGGAGUUUGCGAUACACAGUAAGCUCUACAGCGAAAGCGUUAAGUAAUCCACCUGGGGAGUACGCCGGCAACGGUGAAACUCAAAGGAAUUGACGGGGGCCCGCACAAGCAGUGGAGUAUGUGGUUUAAUUCGAAGCAACGCGAAGAACCUUACCAGGGCUUGACAUAUAAAGUGAUAUUUAAGAGAUUAAAUAGCUCCUCGGAGACUUUAUACAGGUGGUGCAUGGUUGUCGUCAGCUCGUGUCGUGAGAUGUUGGGUUAAGUCCCGCAACGAGCGCAACCCUUAUCCUUUGUUGCCAGCGGUCAGGCCGGGAACUCAAAGGAGACUGCCAGUGAUAAACUGGAGGAAGGUGGGGAUGACGUCAAAUCAGCACGGCCCUUACAUCCGGGGCGACACACGUGUUACAAUGGCAUGGACAAAGGGCAGCUACCUGGCGACAGGAUGCUAAUCUCUAAACCAUGUCUCAGUUCGGAUCGGAGUCUGCAACUCGACUCCGUGAAGCUGGAUUCGCUAGUAAUCGCGCAUCAGCCAUGGCGCGGUGAAUACGUUCCCGGGCCUUGUACACACCGCCCGUCAAGCCAUGGGAGCCGGGGGUACCUGAAGUCCGUAACCGCAAGGAUCGGCCUAGGGUAAAACUGGUGACUGGGGCU
rnacentral:rRNA from 1 species